AACGAACGCUGGCGGCAGGCCUAACACAUGCAAGUCGAGCGAAGCCUUCGGGCUUAGCGGCGGACGGGUGAGUAACGCGUGGGAACGUGCCCUUUGGUACGGAAUAGCCCCGGGAAACUGGGAGUAAUACCGUAUGUGGUCGAGAGACGAAAGAUUUAUCGCCAAAGGAUCGGCCCGCGUCGGAUUAGGUAGUUGGUGGGGUAAUGGCCUACCAAGCCGACGAUCCAUAGCUGGUUUGAGAGGAUGAUCAGCCACACUGGGACUGGGACACGGCCCAGACUUCUACGGGAGGCGGCAGUGGGGAAUCUUAGACAAUGGGGGAAACCCUGAUCUAGCCAUGCAGCGUGAUCGAUGAAGGCCUUAGGGUUGUAAAGAUCUUUCAGUGGGGAAGAUAAUGACUGUACCCACAGAAGAAGCCCCGGCUAACUCCGUGCCAGCAGCCGCAGUAAAAC
rnacentral:rRNA from 1 species